UCCGUGUGUCGUCGUCGACGACGUCUACGAGAGGUUUCGAUUCUGGCUCAGGAUGAACGCUGGCGGCGUGCUUAGCACAUGCAAGUCGAACGGAGUUUAAGGGGCUUGCUCCUUAAACUUAGUGGCGGACGGGUGAGUAACGCGUGGGUAACCUGCCUUUCACUGGGGGAUAACAGUUAGAAAUGACUGCUAAUACCGCAUAAGCGCACAGGAUCGCAUGAUCUAGUGUGAAAAACUCCGGUGGUGAAAGAUGGACCCGCGUCCGAUUAGCCAGUUGGCAGGGUAACGGCCUACCAAAGCGACGAUCAGUAGCCGGCCUGAGAGGGUGAACGGCCACAUUGGGACUGAGACACGGCCCAAACUCCUACGGGAGGCAGCAGUGGGGAAUAUUGCACAAUGGGGGAAACCCUGAUGCCAGCGACGCCGCGUGAGUGAAGAAGUAUUUCGGUAUGUAAAGCUCUAUCAGCAGGGAAGAAAAUGACGGUACCUGACUAAGAAGCCCCGGCUAACUACGUGCCAGCCGCAGC
rnacentral:rRNA from 1 species